UACGUAGGGCGCAAGCGUUAUCCGGAAUUAUUGGGCGUAAAGAGCUCGUAGGCGGUUUGUCGCGUCUGCCGUGAAAGUCCGGGGCUCAACUCCGGAUCUGCGGUGGGUACGGGCAGACUAGAGUGAUGUAGGGGGAGACUGGAAUUCCUGGUGUAGCGGUGAAAAUGCGCAGAUAUCAGGAGGAACACCGGUGGCGAAGGCGGGUCUCUGGGCAGUAACUGACGCUGAGGAGCGAAAGCGUGGGGGAGCGAACAGG
rnacentral:rRNA from 1 species